CCGAGGAAGAACAGUACGAAGCUUCAAGAAUGUCGAGCUGGAGAGCUUGAGCGGCUGCCAUGGCCUCUCCACCUCGAACCUUGGCUUGUCUGACCUCGACCUUCGAAACUCACAACCGCCAUGACCGCUCUAGCUAGAAGAUUGGCUUAAGGGUCUAAUUUAGUCCUUCAAAGCUUGCAGGUAGUCACCAGUUGCCAUGGCCAAGCUUCGAAUUCGCAGGUGGUCCCCAGCCGCCAUGGCCAAGCUUCGAAGCUCACCACUGCCAUGACCGCUCUAGCUCAAAUCUUGGCUUGAGGUAUGACCUCGACCUUUGAAGCUCGCGAGUAUUCGCAGACAGCCAAGGCCA
rnacentral:lncRNA from 1 species